rnacentral:tRNA from 1 species
ACUAUUUUGGCAGAAAUAUGUGAUAAAUUUAGAAUUUAUUUAUGUAAUAUUAAUUAUUACAGAUAGUAU